UCCAGACUCCUACGGGAGGCAGCAGUGGGGGAUAUUGCACAAUGGGGGAAACCCUGAUGCAGCGACGCCGCGUGAGUGAAGAAGUAUUUCGGUAUGUAAAGCUCUAUCAGCAGGGAAGAAAAAAGACGGUACCUGACUAAGAAGCCCCGGCUAACUACGUGCCAGCAGCCGCGGUAAUACGUAGGGGGCAAGCGUUAUCCGGAUUUACUGGGUGUAAAGGGAGCGUAGACGGCAAUACAAGUCGGAAGUGAAAUACCCGGGCUUAACCUGGGAACUGCUUUGGAAACUGUAUGGCUGGAGUGCUGGAGAGGUAAGCGGAAUUCCUAGUGUAGCGGUGAAAUGCGUAGAUAUUAGGAGGAACACCAGUGGCGAAGGCGGCUUACUGGACAGUAACUGACGUUGAGGCUCGAAAGCGUGGGGAGCAAACAGGAUUAGAUACCCUCGUAGAA
rnacentral:rRNA from 1 species